GCGUGCGUUCCACAGGACGGAAGUGGGCGGGUUGCGGUGUGUAUGAGGCGCGGGGGAUGCUGGGAGAGGGGAAUUCCCAGCACGAGGCGGCGGUGAGAGUCUGUACGGGAGGAUAGACACCGACAGAGAGCCCGGGGUGAGUGUUUUCUGAUGGAUCCUCCGAGUGACAACGGCAUGGAGCCGCCCCUGAGCCAGGAGACCUUCGAGGACCUCUGGAGUCUUUUGCCCGCCAUUCAGUCCGUUAAUUGCCCUGAAGAGGGA